rnacentral:rRNA from 1 species
GACGAACGCUGGCGGCGUGCUUAACACAUGCAAGUCGAACGGCAAGGCCCUGCUUUUGUGGGGUGCUCGAGUGGCGAACGGGUGAGGAACACGUGUGUAACCUGCUCUUCAUUUUGGGAUAACUUCAGGAAAGUGGGGCUAAGAUCGUAUAGGAGCUGCUGUUGCAUGGUGGGGGUUGGAAAGUUUCGGCUGUUGGGGAUGGAUGAGCGGCUAAUGAGUUUGCUGGUUGGGUAGUGGCUUACCAAGGCUUUGACGGGUAGCCGGCCUGAGAGGGUGACCGGGGUCAUGGGGCCUGCGGGAGGGAGCAGUGUCGUAUGGUAGGCAGUAGGGGGGAACCUGACCCAAUGGGCGCAAGUGUGUUGAGAAGACGUCGGGUGCGUAAUGCCGGUCUUUUGGGUGUAAACCGCAUUCGCCUGAGACGCAGCGUUAGUGACGGUACUGGGUAAAGAAGCACCGGCUAACUACGUG